rnacentral:rRNA from 1 species
GCUAACUACGUGCCAGCAGCCGCGGUAAUACGUAGGUGGCAAGCGUUGUCCGGAUUUAUUGGGCGUAAAGCGCGCGCAGGCGGUCUUUUAAGUCUGAUGUGAAAUCUUACAGCUUAACUGUAAGCGGUCAUUGGAAACUGGGAGACUUGAGUGCAGAAGAGGAGAGUGGAAUUCCAUGUGUAGCGGUGAAAUGCGUAGAGAUAUGGAGGAACACCAGUGGCGAAGGCGACUCUCUGGUCUGUAACUGACGCUGAGGCGCGAAAGCGUGGGGAUCAAACAGGAUUAGAUACCCGGGUAGUC